rnacentral:sRNA from 1 species
GAUCAUUACAGAGUUCAUGCCCGUAAAGGGUAGACCUCCCACCCUUGUAUGUUAUUACUUGGUUGCUUUGGCGGGCUGCCUAUAUUAACAUUAGCGUCCGCCAGAGGUUUAUCAAACUCUUUUUAUUAAUGUCGUCCGAGUACUAUAUAAUAGUUAAAACUUUCAACAACGGAUCUCUUGGUUCUGGCAUCGAUGAAGAACGCAGCGAAAUGCGAUAAGUAAUGUGAAUUGCAGAAUUCAGUGAAUCAUCGAAUCUUUGAACGCACAUUGCGCCCCUUGGUAUUCCGGGGGGCAUGCCUGUUCGAGCGUCAUAUCAACAUCAAGCACAGCUUGGUAUUGAGCCCUUGUCAGUAAUGGCAGACUCUAAAAUCAAUGGCGGUGCCGCUGGGUCCUGAACGUAGUAACAUCUCUCGUUCCAGGCUCUCAGUAUGCUUCUGUGUAUUUGUUAAUAUUCUAGUUGACCUCGGAUCAGGUAGGGAUACCCGCUGAACUUAAGCAUAUCAAUAAGCGGAGGAA